AGGGUUUGAUUCUGGCUCAGGACGAACGCUGGCGGCGUGCCUAACACAUGCAAGUCGAACGGAACUUCUUUAAAGGAUUUCUUCGGAAUGAAUUUGAUUAAGUUUAGUGGCGGACGGGUGAGUAACGCGUGAGUAACCUGCCUCUAAGAGGGGAAUAACAUUCUGAAAAGAAUGCUAAUACCGCAUAAUAUAUAUUUAUCGCAUGGUAGAUAUAUCAAAGAUUUAUCGCUUAGAGAUGGACUCGCGUCCGAUUAGUUAGUUGGUGAGGUAACGGCUCACCAAGACUGCGAUCGGUAGCCGGACUGAGAGGUUGAACGGCCACAUUGGGACUGAGACACGGCCCAG
rnacentral:rRNA from 1 species